CUUUAGGCGAUAAAACAGAUAAUUCCAUGCCAGGGAAGAUCUCAUGGUUUUUAAUGUGAGACCCUUGUGGGGCCCAACGAGAGUUGGCUGUUGUGGGAUCCAUCAUGAAGCCAGAAUUGCCUUUCCAUUGGAGGAUAAAAGCUAAGGCUGCAAGAGAAAGAGGGAGGAGAGUUAGGAGGAGGAUUAGUCUUGAGGUGAAGGAUUGAGUGGAUAUGGUGGUUGAGGUAGCGGUGGAGGAGCGGAGGGGAGCGUGGAGGUGGUGGCUGGGCAUGGUGGUUGAGAGAGUGAGAGAGAGAGAGAGAGAGAGGGAUGGAACGGUGGACUGCUGGUAGUUAAGUUACAGGGAAUUUAAUUUUAAUUUUUGGUGGGAGAGAUUCGAGUGUGUUCUUAAUCAUAUAUAUAUAUAUAUAUAGACUGCUAGUACUUAAGUCAUAGAAGAAUUUAAUUUUAAUUUUUGGUAUAUAUAAUGAACACACUCGAAUCUCUC
rnacentral:lncRNA from 1 species